rnacentral:pre_miRNA from 1 species
CUGAUACUCCCUCCGUCCGAAAAUACUUGUUAUCAAAAUGGAUAAAAUGGGAUGUAUCUAGAACUAAAAUACGUCUAGAUACAUCCCUUUUGUUCAUUUUGAUGAUAAGUAUUUUCGGACGGAGGGAGUACCUC